AGAGAAAAGCAAUAUCCCAAUUUCAAUGCAGAAGAGUAGUUCCUAUAGGAUCAUGUGUGAGUAUCUGGCGUCUGUUUUACCGGGAGAACAUACAAGCUAGGCUUGAGAACAUCAGGAAGUCCAACAAUGGAAUAAUUUUAAAUUUAUGAAUAGACUUGCUCUGCUGCAAGAUUGGUAAGUAUGACAUAUUUCAUAAGACUUUACAGCACAACUUAUAUGAACUAGUUGCAUACAGAUUCGGCCUUACUUCUGACGUGUGCCGACGUUGAUCCUAUUUUCACCGUUCCCCCAGAAAGCCCAUGGACCUUCUUCCAUGGCCAAAUAACUCCUUUCAUCCUUGAGUCACUCAUGCUCUGCGAAUUUCCCAACUGACAUCUUUGAUACUAACCUCUUCACCCGCCUUCUCAUCGUAAUCAUACCACUCGCCAUCGCUAAUAUCGAUACCUGAAAACACCGUCGACGAUUCUGCUCCCUUUGCUUCCCACUCUCCAUCAGCCUUAAACUCCGUGAACUCGAGCCCUCGACAAUCGAACUCAAUGACCUUUUGGCCCUUGCUAUUCGAUUCUUCAUAUGCGGUGGGUGGGUUUGUGAUUGAGGCGGAAUGCGUCCUCGUGCAGAGUCUACAUUUCCAUACGAAAUUUGCCUCACCCCGACUGCCAGGGACCUCAAGUUUCUCAAAUCUAUUGAAACUGAUCCAGUUAGGGUGAACCUCUCGACAUGACGUGCAUUGCACCUUAAACGUGUAGAAGUAAGGGUUCUCUUCGGUGUCCUUCGGGCGGAGAUUGGUGACCCCUGAUAACUCUGCAGAGAGAACAAGAGAGUACAUUUUUGAACCAGCUUUAGCUGAGUCUCUAGAAGAGUUUUGCGUUCUUUGAGCUGCUUGGUUGG
rnacentral:sRNA from 2 species